CUAACGGCUGAACCAGCAACUUGGAAGAAUGUAUAGCAAUUGCUAAUUGUUUCUCCUUUAAAUGGAACAAUAUCGAUUUGAUCGAAUAAAAUUCUGGGUAAAAUUAUGAUAAUGACAUUGUUUACUCAUGAGUCUUGACCAAGUUACGUGCCAGCAGUCGCGGUAAUACGUAGAAGACAAGUGUUAUUCAUCUUUAAUGGGUUUAAAGGGUACCUAGACGGUGUAUUAAGCCUCAAAAGGAACUGAUAUACUAGAGUUACUUAUGAGGAAGUUCUAAAGUACUAGAGGAGUAGAGAUAAAAUUCAAUAAUACCUUUUUUUUAUAAAAAACUUCGGCACAGGUAUAGGUGAAAACAUCUUCUUAUGGGAUAACUGACGUUGAGGGACGAAGGCUUUUAAUCGUGAACAGGAUUAGAGACCCUGGUAAUGGAAGCAGAAAACGCUGAGUGUCAUAGAUUAGAUAAAUAUUUACUCUAUAAAUGAAAGUGUAAGCACUCCACCUCAAGAGUAAUUUGGCAACAUUGGAACUGAAAUCAUUAGACCGUAUUUGAAACCAGUAGUGAUGUAUGUUAUUUAAUUUGAUAAUCCGCAAAAAACCUUACCACAACUUGAAUGCCUAUAUAUUUAUUUUUAUUAUAUUUUUGUGUGUAGUUUUUUGUAUAACUUAAACUACACAUUAUACAAUAAUAUCAUAAGGUAAAAUCAUAGGUACAAGUGUUGCACGGCUGUCUACAGUUAAUGUCGUCAGACUAUGGUUAGUUCCAUUAAAUUAACGUAAACCCUUGCUCUAUUUUUAAAUAGAGUAGUUCUCCACUAUAUUGGAUAAGAUAACA
rnacentral:rRNA from 1 species